UACGUAGGGUGCGAGCGUUGUCCGGAAUUAUUGGGCGUAAAGGGCUCGUAGGCGGUUUGUCGCGUCGGGAGUGAAAACCUUGGGCUUAACUCAGGGCUUGCUUUCGAUACGGGCAGACUAGAGGUAUGCAGGGGAGAACGGAAUUCCUGGUGUAGCGGUGAAAUGCGUAGAUAUCCGGAGGAACACCGGUGGCGAAGGCGGCUUCCUGGACCGACACUGACGCUGAGGCGCGAAAGCUAGGGGAGCAAACGGG
rnacentral:rRNA from 1 species